GCCACUUUAGCUCAGUUGGUAGAGCGACGCAUUCGUAAUGCGUAGGUCGCGAGUUCAAGUCUCACAAGUGGCU
rnacentral:tRNA from 2 species